UGGGACGAUGAAGAACGGAGCCAGCUGCGAGACUUGGUGUGAAUUGCAGGACAUUGAGCACUGAUUUUUCGAACGCGCAUUGCGGCCUCGGGUCCUGCCCGGGGCCUCGCCUGUCUGAGGGUC
rnacentral:rRNA from 1 species